GGUUAAGCGACUAAGCGUACACGGUGGAUGCCCUGGCAGUCAGAGGCGAUGAAGGACGUGCUAAUCUGCGAAAAGCGUCGGUAAGGUGAUAUGAACCGUUAUAGCCGGCGAUGUCCGAAUGGGGAAACCCAGUGCAAUUCGUUGCACUAUCGUUUGAUGAAUACAUAGUCAAACGAGGCGAACCGGGGGAACUGAAACAUCUAAGUACCCCGAGGAAAAGAAAUCAACCGAGAUUCCCCCAGUAGCGGCGAGCGAACGGGGAGCAGCCCGGAGUCUGAAUCAGCUUGUGUGUUAGUGGAAGCGUCUGGAAAGUCGCAGGGUACAGGGUGAUACUCCCGUACACUAAAAUGCACAGGUUGUGAACUCGAAGAGUAGGGCGGGACACGUGGUAUCCUGUCUGAAUAUGGGGGGACCAUCCUCCAAGGCUAAAUACUCCUGACUGACCGAUAGUGAACCAGUACCGUGAGGGAAAGGCGAAAAGAACCCCGGCGAGGGGAGUGAAAAAGAACCUGAAACCGUGUACGUACAAGCAGUAGGAGCCCACU
rnacentral:rRNA from 1 species